GGGAGAGCUUUCUAGGAUGGAAGCCAAUAUUUCCCUCUUCUCACACUCUCUCUGGGCAAGAGAGAGCGUGAAAGCGGGUAAACCACUCUGCCGCUUACUAGCUGUGUGUUUUUAAACAAAGUACUUUGCCUCUCCUGGCCCCAAUCUUCUUGUCUGUAUAGUGAGGGAAAUAGUAGCUAUCUCUCCAGGAGUUACUCUGAUGGUUAAAUAAAGCAACUGAAGCGCCUCUCACGGCACCUGGCACCUGGCACGCCGUCACUUAGCCUGCUCCUGCGCCCCCUGCGGUCUCUGGUACGUUCUGCACCUUGUACCGACUGCGGCUGCAGUGUCCUCCUUGGCCAGCGGGCGGCGGUGCGGGACCACCGUGCGGGUCUGCGGACAGCCAGGCUUUCCCGGGAACAGAAUUCCGCAGCCUGAACAAGCGGCGGAAUUGGAGCAUCCGAGAAACUAGGUCUUAACCUGUGCCGGAGUUGCCCUCGCUCUGAGCCUCAGCCUCGGUGCCCGCGGAGAGCAAAGCGCUCUGGGCACUGUAUACAGAAGUUCCGAGGGGACGCGGGUGUUCCCUGCACGGUCCCCUGCCCCCGUUCAGACCUCUGGCCCUGAAGUCUCAGAGAUGCAAGGAAGAGGGUGGCCCGAGCCUCCAGAGAUUCCCAGCCAGGGUCGCAGGAUAACGCGCGGGAAAACACGGGCCUGGAGCACCGCGCUCUCCCGGCGUCGGGCGGAAAGAGAAGAGCAGAAGGGGCCGGAGCGCGGCGGUCGUGGCUAUUGGCGAGACCCGGGAGGCAAAGCGCGUGGAGAGGGGACGCGUGGGAACCGCAGAGGAUAGCGGAGAGCAGCCGGCUCCGGAACGUCUGACUGCGAGCCCCGGCGGUCGUGCGCGCGAGUAACAAGUGUGCAAUUUUGUGUGCAACCGGCGUGUGCACGUGGGCACUUACAAGCUCCUGAGGAAGCUGGGUGCACACGGAGCUUCAGUGUUCACACAAAGAGCGCCUAGACGAGGAACAUUUAAAUGAGGGGAGCAGGAAACGGUUCCUAGGAGCCUGGGGAGGAGGAUGGGGGAUUAAAGGCGCGAUCUCGGCGGGGUUCGGGGCGCGGCUGCUCGGCCGGAGGGACCUGCGGGGGAGAGCAGCGCGGGGAGGGAGAUUGCCUGGGCCGGCUUCUCGCCUAUUCUCCGCAGAACUUUUUCCCCCUCCCUCUUCCCUCGCGCUGCCUCUCUCGGGGCGGUCUCCAGGGACUGUCUCUCACAUCCAU
rnacentral:lncRNA from 12 species